AGUGAACGCUGGCGGUAGGCCUAACACAUGCAAGUCGAACGGCAGCACAGUAAGAGCUUGCUCUUACGGGUGGCGAGUGGCGGACGGGUGAGGAAUACAUCGGAAUCUACUUUUUCGUGGGGGAUAACGUAGGGAAACUUACGCUAAUACCGCAUACGACCUACGGGUGAAAGCAUGGGAUCUUCGGACCUUGCGCGAUUGAAUGAGCCGAUGUCGGAUUAGCUAGUUGGCGGGGUAAAGGCCCACCAAGGCGACGAUCCGUAGCUGGUCUGAGAGGAUGAUCAGCCACACUGGAACUGAGACACGGUCCAGACUCCUACGGGAGGCAGCAGUGGGGAAUAUUGGACAAGGGGCGCAAGCCUGAUCCAGCCAUACCGCGUGGGUGAAGAAGGCCUUCGGGUUGUAAAGCCCUUUUGUUGGGAAAGAAAAGCAGCAGGUUAAUACCCCGCUGUUCUGACGGUACCCAAAGAAUAAGCACCGGCUAACUUCGUG
rnacentral:rRNA from 1 species